UUGUGGAGAGUUGUCUGGUUAGCAGUCGUGCAGCAUCUUCUUAUUUUCGUAAAUAUUGAACACACAUUGGAUCUAAUAGUGUCUUUACUCUUCCUAGAUAUAUAUACUACUUUCAAGAAGGGCUUAACAUUGGUUGGUCGUUUAAUAAAAACUACUUUGAACUUGUGAGAAUUGUUUAGAACUAUUCAACGUCUUCUUUCCUUUCUGUGGUGUCGGGGAAUAAAGUGUAUCAUCAUUAUGUCAUUUUUUUAUGCAAACUGUGUAAUCAAAUUCAUUG
rnacentral:lncRNA from 1 species